rnacentral:rRNA from 1 species
CCUACGGGAGGCAGCAGUGGGGAAUAUUGGGCAAUGGAGGGAACUCUGACCCAGCGACGCCGCGUGCGGGAUGAAGGCCUUCGGGUUGUAAACCGCUUUCAGCAAGGAAGAAGCGAAAGUGACGGUACUUGCAGAAGAAGCACCGGCUAACUAUGUGCCAGCAGCCGCGGUAAUACAUAGGGUGCAAGCGUUGUCCGGAAUUAUUGGGCGUAAAGAGCUCGUAGGUGGUUCGUCACGUCGGAUGUGAAAAUCUGGGGCUUAACCCCAGACCUGCAUUCGAUACGGGCGAGCUAGAGUGUGGUAGGGGAGACUGGAAUUCCACGUGUAGCAGUGAAAUGCGUAGAUAUGUGGAGGAAUACCGAUGGCGAAGGCAGCCCCCUGGGAUAACACUGACGCUCAUGCACGAAAGCGUGGGGAGCAAACAGGAUUAGAUACCCUGGUAGUCCACGCCCUAAACGAUGUCUACUAGUUGUCGGGUCUUAAUUGACUUGGUAACGCAGCUAACGCGUGAAGUAGACCGCCUGGGGAGUACGGUCGCAAGAUUAAAACUCAAAGGAAUUGACGG